rnacentral:rRNA from 1 species
AGUGAACGCUGGCGGUAGGCCUAACACAUGCAAGUCGAACGGCAGCACAGUAAGAGCUUGCUCUUACGGGUGGCGAGUGGCGGACGGGUGAGGAAUACAUCGGAAUCUACUUUUUCGUGGGGGAUAACGUAGGGAAACUUACGCGAAUACCGCAUACGACCUACGGGUGAAAGCAGUGGAUCUUCGGACCUUGCGCGAUUGAAUGAGCCGAUGUCGGAUUAGCUAGUUGGCGGGGUAAAGGCCCACCAAGGCGACGAUCCGUAGCUGGUCUGAGAGGAUGAUCGGCCACAUGGGAACUGAGACACGGUCCAGACUCCUACGGGAGGCAGCAGUGGGGAAUGUUGGACAAUGGGCGGAAGCCUGAUCCAGCCGUACCGCGUGGGUGAAGAAGGCCUUCGGGUUGUAAAGCCCUUUUGUGGGGAAAGAAAAGCAGCAGGUUAAUACGCCGCUGUUCUGACGGUACCCAAAGAAUAAGCACCGGCUAACUUCGUG